GGAGGAUAAAACAUGGCCUAUUAUGUACUAGUUCUGUAGGACCAAUUGAGACACAGAAGUGGUAGGUACCUGGAUUGCUCACAAUUUAGUUGUGUGUCAUAAAAGGCACGCAAUUAAUCAGAGAGCUGGAACCACUGGCGGGUAGGAAGCACGGGCCCCAGAGCUGCUGCAUGCCUGGAAAUCCACAGCCAUACCAGGGACCUAAAACACUCAGGCUGCUGCUCUUGAACUUCUGAGGUUAGGAAAUGCUGCAAAGUUCACUGUCAUCCAAUUCAACAGGCCUUUACCUAGGGGCCGCUGGGUCCAAAGCCCAGCCCUCAGACCUUACUUCUCCU
rnacentral:lncRNA from 1 species